GUGACCUUGGUGCUUGCACCAGGCGAUCAGUGUCGAACGGGUGAGUAACACCUGAGUAACCUGCCCCCGACUCUGGGAUAACCCCGGGAAAUCGGAGCUAAUACCGGAUACGAGACGCACAGGCAUCUGUGGGUCUGGAAAGAAAUUCGGUCGGGGAUGGACUCGCGGCCUAUCAGCUAGUUGGUGGGGCUCCGGCCCACCAAGGCGACGACGGGUAGCCGGCCUGAGAGGGCGACCGGCCACACUGGGACUGAGACACGGCCCAGACUCCUACGGGAGGCAGCAGUGGGGAAUAUUGCACAAUGGGCGAAAGCCUGAUGCAGCGACGCCGCGUGGGGGAUGAAGGCCUUCGGGUUGUAAACCCCUUUCAGCAGGGAAGAAGCGAAAGUGACGGUACCUGCAGAAGAAGCGCCGGCUAACUACGUGCCAGCAGCCGCGGUAAUACGUAGGGCGCAAGCGUUGUCCGGAAUUAUUGGGCGUAAAGAGCUCGUAGGUGGUUUGUCGCGUCUGCUGUGAAMACCYKAGGCUCAACCUCGGGCCUGCAGUGGGUACGGGCAGACUAGAGUGCGGUAGGGGAGACUGGAAUUCCUGGUGUAGCGGUGGAAUGCGCAGAUAUCAUGGAGGAACACCGAUGGCGAAGGCAGGUCUCUGGGCCGCAACUGACACUGAGGAGCGAAAGCAUGGGGAGCGAACAGGAUUAGAUACCCUGGUAGUCCAUGCCGUAAACGUUGGGCACUAGGUGUAGGGCUCAUUCCACGAGUUCCGUGCCGCAGCUAACGCAUUAAGUGCCCCGCCUGGGGAGUACGGCCGCAAGGCUAAAACUCAAAGGAAUUGACGGGGGCCCGCACAAGCGGCGGAGCAUGCGGAUUAAUUCGAUGCAACGCGAAGAACCUUACCAAGGCUUGACAUAUACCGAAAACUCAUGGAGACAUGGGGUCCGCAAGGGCGGUAUACAGGUGGUGCAUGGUUGUCGUCAGCUCGUGUCGUGAGAUGUUGGGUUAAGUCCCGCAACGAGCGCAACCCUCGUUCUAUGUUGCCAGCACAUAAUGGUGGGGACUCGUGAGGGACUGCCGGGGUCAACUCGGAGGAAGGUGGGGAUGACGUCAAAUCAUCAUGCCCCUUAUGUCUUGGGCUUCACGCAUGCUACAAUGGCCGGUACAAAGGGCUGCGAUACCGCAAGGUGGAGCGAAUCCCAAAAAGCCGGUCUCAGUUCGGAUUGGGAUCUGCAACUCGACCCCAUGAAGUCGGAGUCGCUAGUAAU
rnacentral:rRNA from 1 species